rnacentral:rRNA from 1 species
GUUCACCAAAAAUGCGGGACGUGCGGCAAAACCAUUUCGUUUACUCUAUGGGGCAAUCCUGAUCCAACAACGGAUGGGUUUAACUGAUCGUGGGGUGGUUGCGGCAAUUCGUGAUACACCCGCACUUCAAUAUUUCAUCGGGUUGUCCGAAUACAAAGCGGUUGAGCCGUUCAAUUAUUCCAGCCUGGCACACUUUCGCAAACGAAUUGCCGAUAUCUCCGAGCUGAUUACGAAUAUCAUGAAUGAUACAGUACGCGCCAAGAUCGAAGCGUUGGUCCCAUUCAAAGUGGACACCGUCAUCACGGACGCAACCGCAGUGCCAGUCAAAAUCAAGUAUCCUCAAGACACCGUCCUCCUCAACCAAGCAAGGCUGAAUCUUGAGGCGAUGGCGAUCGAUAUGGCACACCAACUUGGUGUGCCAAACCCACGCAUGUACAAACGCGAGGCGAAGCAUUGUUGGACCUCAUUUUCACGACAUCCAAAGCAACAGCGUGGUGGCUUUCAUAAACAGGUCAAGGCCCAACUUCAAUAUGUGCGCCGUGAUUUGCGGUACAUCAACGAAUUCAUCGAUCAGGGUGCGACUCUACCAGAUGAACAAGCGAUUCGCUUAGGCGUGAUUCGAAUUCUAUUUGACCAGCAAUGGUACAUGUAUACCCACAAGACUCACCACGUUGAAGACCGAAUUGUUAGUCUCCAACAGCCGUACAUUCGCCCAAUUCAACGUGGUAAGGCCAAUGCUAAAGUUGAAUUUGGGGCGAAGAUUGACUGUUCGUUAAGUGAAGGCGUAGUCGACAUUGAACGUUUUGAUUUCACCGCAUUCUCUGAGGGCCAAGACUUCGCGGAAACUUUAGACCACUAUUACGACCUUCAUGGGCAUUAUCCGGACGAAGUACUGGCCGAUACGCUGUACCGUAAUCGGGAGAACCUAAAGCUGUGUAAGGAUUUGGGUAUCCGAAUCUGCGGUCCGAAGCUUGGCCGGCAUCCAAAACACGUUGAUGCAGCGAAACGGCGUGAGGAUACUGAUGCCGAGAAUCGAAGAGGUACCAUUGAACGCCGGUUUGCUUUUAUGAAGGGCACGCUGGGGCUUGACUUGGUGAACACUCGGACAGCUGAAUCACUGGCCGUCAAGAUUGACGUGGCCAUCGUCUUGAGCAAUGUGCUGACCCUGUUAAGGGUAUUUGCUAUACCAAUUUUAAUUUUGGCUAAAUUCGAGGGUGAGGCCUAUCAAAUUCGCUAUAAAUUUACUACAAGGGUCGAAGAUAUGGUGGCCUAGUUCAACAGCCACUAAAUAAGUACCUUAUAUACGAUGUGGUCUCAGUUUAACAAGUUCAUACAGCAGGAUGCGAAUUUUAGUAUCAAGUAUCUGUGCCUUAGAUGAAUUACGAUCAGCAUAGUCCAUCCGCUUCUGCUUAAUCGAACACAUUUAAGGAGAUAUAAAAAAAUGCAAAAAUAUGAUUAUCUCAAUCGGUUAAUCAAGACAAACUGUGUUGUUGUUGUUCGCGGCAACGAUACUGCCGAAGCAGUUAAAACAGUUGAUGCUGUCAUCGCUGGUGGCAUUACUGGGAUUG